UUUUGUUUUCAGACCGCUCAGGGCUAGAAUCUCCAGAGAAAGUCGAGGCAGUGCAGGAACCAGUAUUAGAAGCAUUAAAACACUACAUUAAAUCACGGCGGAAAGAUCAGCCUCAGGUUUAUGCAAAAAUGUUGAUGAAAAUAACUGAUCUCAGGAGUAUAAGUGUUAAAGGUGCAGAACGUGUUUUACAUUUACGUCUGGAAAUGCCUGGUGAAUUACCUCCCCUGAUAAUAGAAAUGCUGGACAGAACAGAAAAUGUGUGUAUACCUUGAGAGAAGACAUAGUGUUUCUAGAUUUGAUAGAAAAUUAUUGCUGGAUCAAUUUUGGCUGAACAUUUCAUAUGACUAAAGCUGAAAGGGGAAGACUUCCAGAAUUAGGAGCUAAAUUCAAUGGUG